rnacentral:rRNA from 1 species
AUACGUAGGGGGCGAGCGUUGUCCGGAAUGAUUGGGCGUAAAGGGCGCGUAGGCGGCCCGGUAAGUCUGGAGUGAAAGUCCUGUUUUUAAGAUGGGAAUUGCUUUGGAUACUGUCGGGCUUGAGUGCAGGAGAGGUAAGUGGAAUUCCCAGUGUAGCGGUGAAAUGCGUAGAGAUUGGGAGGAACACCAGUGGCGAAGGCGACUUACUGGACUGUAACUGACGCUGAGGCGCGAAAGUGUGGGGAGCAAACAGGAUUAGAUACCCUGGUAGUCCACACUGUAAACGAUGAAUGCUAGGUGUAGGGGGUAUCGACCCCUUCUGUGCCGCAGUCAACACAAUAAGUAUUCCGCCUGGGGAGUUCGGCCGCAAGGUUGAAACUCAAAGGAAUUGACGGGG